UUGAUUGUUUUUCUUGUUUCAGAAAUGGUGCAGAACUGUGUGGUCUAGCUUGCUUACUUUCAUUGCUGAUAGACAGGGUAGACUUUGAUUCACACCUAAAUGUGCCUUUAGUUGUUGGCUCUGUCAAGUCCAUACGACCAGAAGUCUGUCCGACAUUGGACCAGUACAGAACGUUGUAUCGUGUGUUGGAGACAUAUUGUGAACCAUCAACAGUGUAUACAAAUGGUGUCAAAGAAUUGAUAAUGUCCCCUCAACAACUAACACAUGUUCCAGCGGAUCUAUCAGAAAGUAUUUAUAACAACACUGAAAAUUUGUAUCUAUACACAAAUAUGUAAAUUUAAUAGCUUAGCUAUUUUAUUUUAGGCUACUGUCUUCUUUAUCUGUAUUGGAUAUAUUUGUAAACAUCCAUGAAUAGCCAGAUUUUUAAAAAUGUUUAAGCCAUUAUGGUUAAAGCCUAUUGGUGUACAGAAUACAGAACAGUUGAUAAAUUACGCGUUCUGAAAACCGUUUAAAACCAUGUGCACCUUUUGAGUAUUGUAAAAUCAAAUUAAAUUGUAAAUAAAGAGCAGAUUAUUGUACAUAUAAGAAUUUUUAAAUAAGAAUGAAAAUCUUCAGUAUAAAUGCAUUGAAUAUAUUUAUUUAGUGUAUACAUUAUUGUUGUAUUGGUGCUACAAUUUGAAAGUCUUUUCAUACAUAUAUACACACAUACAUACAUACAUACUUUAAAUUAAUCUUGUUAAUUAAGCAGACACCUCCAAUGUUAAUUAUAUUGUAUGUAUGUAUUCAUGUUUUUGUAAAAGUAUAGAUUGACUAACAUCUACUGUAUUGUGUGUAAUGCAUUGUCAUCGGCAAGUCAAUGCCUUGAGCUACAGGAAUUUCAGGAAUUCCCAAUAACAAUCUGUUUUGCUUACUGUAAACCUAUCCAUAUUUUUGGGUCAUAGUGAGGUUAACCCUUUUUUGAAGACUUUCUUCAAAGUUUAAAAGAUAAGUAAAUAAAUUGUUACGAGAAUUGCAGACAUGAUUAGAUUCAUCCAUUAAAGGUGCUGGCUAAGAGUUACUAAGGGACUCGUUUUAGUUUUUAAGAUUCAAGCAUUUUCUGUUACCAAUAAAAGACUUUCAUUGACUUUUCUCAGCUACUGUGGUAAGACAUUACUACAUUAAUUCUAUAACGAUCCUUAGCUGAGUUCCCAGAAAUACUAGGAUUCUUAUUUUCCCUUUUCUCAACUUCCCAUGUCUCAUUAUUACGAAAAGUAAAGAGGACACACCCACUUGGGGCUUCGGGUAAAGAGCUUUGCUAAAAUUCAGUGCCAGUAAAAUUGUAUAAAUUAGUUACAUCUGCCUUGAUGAAAUUGAUUGGUAAAAAAGUAAUUGCUUUAUGAAAUAAAGUCCAGAUGAACAUUU
rnacentral:sRNA from 1 species